rnacentral:rRNA from 1 species
GAUGAACGCUAGCUACAGGCUUAACACAUGCAAGUCGAGGGGUAACAAGAGAAAAGCUUGCUUUUCUUGUUGACGACCGGCGCACGGGUGAGUAACGCGUAUCCAACCUGCCUAUAACUAGGGAAUAACCUUGCGAAAGUAAGACUAAUACCCUAUGAUCUCCUUUGAUGACAUCAGAUUAGGAAUAAAGAUUUAUCGGUUAUAGAUGGGGAUGCGUCUGAUUAGCUUGUUGUCGGGGUAACGGCCCACCAAGGCAACGAUCAGUAGGGGUUCUGAGAGGAAGGUCCCCCACAUUGGAACUGAGACACGGUCCAAACUCCUACGGGAGGCAGCAGUGAGGAAUAUUGGUCAAUGGGCGGAAGCCUGAACCAGCCAAGUAGCGUGCAGGAUGACGGCCCUAUGGGUUGUAAACUGCUUUUAUACAGGAAUAAAGUUAGCCACGUGUGGUUAUUUGUAGGUACUGUAUGAAUAAGGACCGGCUAAUUCCGUGCCAGCCGCCGCGGUAA